ACUAAUUGUCCCUGGGCUACUGCUAGGGAGUCUUUCACCAGUAUCCGCAGUUUGUGGAGAUACUAUGUCUUUCCUGCAAAGAGACAAUGAGACAGCUUUUUAUAUCGUUCAUAUUACACCUACCUACGCACAUUUCUGUAGAAAUGAAUGCUUGAUUUUUAUUGGCUGGCUGGCUGGCUGGAAUUAUGAAUGAAUGUGUCUGUCAGGAAAAUUAGUGACAUUUGUAAAACAUAAAUGAGUAUAAGAAGAAAGGGUAGUCUGGUGCAAGAAAGGGUAGUCAGGUAUAGUACAUCUGACAGUGUAUUAAAAACAGAAACAAAUGACUACAUCCAGAGCUAUGGUGGAGCUUCCGUAUUUAAUUUUAUCCAUAUACUUUGGUUCCCAGCAAAAUCAUCUGGAUAAAUGAAGCAUCCAGAUUUUCAUAUAUGUUUACUUUGUUGAUGUGUAAUAUGAAAUAAACACACUAUCAUUAUGCACCUAAUUAGGAAUGUCUUCACAGGACAAAAAGAACCAUUUUCAUCAGGCAACACCUAAUUAGGGAAGUCUUCACAGGACAUUAAAGGAAUCAUUUUCAUCAGGCAACAAGUAAAAACUGACCAUUUGGAUCUGGGGAACGAGAAUUUCCGGAUUUGGAAUGCAAAAUAUAGUGUUCCCGUUAAAACUUGUCCAAGAGUUGAAGUGUCCUAAGUAUAUGUUCUAAUUUUUGGAGCAAGGUGAUGCUUUUUACUUAGGGACCUGCCUGUGUCAAUGACCUUGAUGAAGCAAUACUGACCACUGGCCAGGGCAAUGGCCAGGGAUAUAUUUACACAGGGAGAUCCCUGCCUGAGCUAUUAGCUGAACAUCUGAGAAAUAAAAAUUAAGAUCAGCCUGUAAGAUCCCACACACAGGGCUUAAGUCGUGAACAGGAAGUGCUCCAACCUUCAACAAAAUUUUUUCUUCAUCUUUUGCAAUUUUGUAAUAUCCUUCAAAUAUUCUAGUUUCUAAUGAAAAUGCAAGACUAUGUAAAUGAACGUUAUUUUAAGCAACAGAUUCAAAGUAUGCAGUAAUUAAUGGCUAACAUGGACAGAGGGAAAUUUUUGCUAUCAUCCAUUUUUUGCAGCACCUGCAUGUUUAGUCAUAUUCCAUAUAUAUAGGGAUAUAUACAUGUUUGUAUAUGUAUUUAAUGAUAAUAUCAAAGAACAUGACUAUAGCGAGUUUACCUUUAAAUAUCAGAGUUUGAUUUCAAUUUCGUGGAGUUUUUCUUCUUAUCGUAUACAGAGUUUUAUACAAUUGAGAAAUUUAUGAACUUCAAUAGAUUUUUUUAAGCAGUGCGAUUAAGAGUGGUCGUUGUUCCUGAGAUAAUUUUUAAAUCACUGAUUCCAGAGUAAAUCAUCAAACACCCCCUGUAUUAAAAGUUUAUUCAUUGGUGUUUUAUUUCCUCUCUUGGGCAAGAAAUGCCAGUUUAUUUAAACUCCUCUUCCCAUAAAACAUUUGUUUGGUCAGUGAGAGAUCUGUCGGGUCAAAUUAACUUUUGAGUGAGAUUACAACAUGGCUAGAUGUUUGACCGUGUGACUCACAUUUAAACACUCCUCAUAGUGGACAAGUUAAAACAGCUUCGUUUGGUGGAGAUAAGACAGGUACUAAAAUAUUAUAGCCCUUGUUCUUAUGCAACUUUAUAGAUAAAGUUCACAUAAUUUGUUAAUUAUACAAAUCCUUUGAAAACCUCCAGAAAUCAUUAAUCAAAAUUCCCUAUAAUCUGGGAGGGAUUUUUGACACCCAAUUAUGAUGCUAUAGUUAUGUAAUAUUGGAAAUUAAUUUCCAAAAUGUUAAAGAAGAUUUAGAAUGAUGUGUAUAAUUAAUUGAUUUAUUUCUGUAUUAGUAUUUGGAUUUGGGUUCCGAUAAUUAGUUUUCGUAAUUAUCAAGUUUUACAAGAAUUUUUUCCAAAACAAAAAAGGACACUGAAAAGUUAGAAUCAAGAAGUUAUACUGUGGAAUCAAAAGAGCUGCAGGAGCUCAAUUGUCAUGGAUUCCGUGGGUACCCCAUCCCACAUUUCUAAUCCACAAUGAAAUACACAAAAAUGUACAGAAACCAUACCCAUGAAAUCACAUCCCAAUUGAACUUUAAAAUCUCAACAAAUCCCACCCACCCCCACCCCCGAAUUAUUUAAAUAUUCCACAGUAUUAUAUAAAGUCAAAGUUAGAUCUAUUCUGUGUAAUUCUUAUAUAAAGUCAAAGUUAGAUCUAUUCUGUGUAAUUCUUAUAUAAAGUCAAAGUUAGAUAUAUUCUGUGUAAUUCUUAUAAAUGUAUUAUAUUUUGCUUACUUCUUUUUAGGAAUUUUUUUUUAAAUAUAUGACAAAACAAAAUCUACACAAUAUAUUGUCCUCUCGCUCAUUACUAAUUUUUUUAUAUGCUUUAAGAUUUCAUUUAUCAGUCUUAUGGUGUAGGAUAUUGGGCACAAUUUAUUCAUCAAGCUGGUUGCAAUUUAGUAGAUCAAAGUUGAAAACAGACUUAGAUUAUUGAUGAGUUCUAGAAAGGGAGACAAUUAGAUUGAAUAGUUUGUGAACUUUCCAUUCUUUAUAAGCUAGACCAAGGUGGCAAACGUAUACUGUGUUUAUUCUACAUUUAUUUUAUACAACUUUGAAAUGUUUUCAUAGUGUUCUAAAUAUAUUUAUUAAAGAUUUGAAUUUUUUAUGCAUAUAUUCUUUUUAACUGUAUUUUAAAUGCAACUUAAUGCAUUAGAAGCUU